GGAACGACAGAGAGAACAGGGCACCAGUGGCAAGCACAAGCUCAGCUCUUGGUCUCCAGAAUGGCUAUCAGAAACGCAGGAAGUAGGAACUGGACAGAUCAUCUUUUUCUAUGCUGGAAUUGUCUUGUGCAUUGACUAGUGAACUUACCAUCACUUUAAACUAUGCAUCUUGU